rnacentral:rRNA from 1 species
UACGGGGGGGGCAAGCGUUGUUCGGAAUUACUGGGCGUAAAGGGCUUGUAGGCGGCCAACUAAGUCGGACGUGAAAUCCCUCAGCUUAACUGGGGAACUGCGUCCGAUACUGGAUGGCUUGGAUUUGGGAGAGGGAUGCGGAAUUCCAGGUGUAGCGGUGAAAUGCGUAGAUAUCUGGAGGAACACCGGUGGCGAAGGCGGCAUCCUGGACCAAUAUUGACGCUGAGGAGCGAAAGCCAGGGGAGCAAACGGG